GGGUCUAUGAUUACAAAGCAAUGCCAUGAAGAGAGGUGAUGACAUAAAAAUCAUGCUCAAUAGGAUUACGCUGAGGCCC
ensembl:snoRNA SNORD115 Small nucleolar RNA SNORD115